rnacentral:rRNA from 1 species
GACGAACCGUGCGAACGUUAUUCGGAAUCACUGGGCUUAAAGCGCGUGUAGGCGGGCCGGCACGUCGGGUGCUGAAAGCCCCCGGCUCAACCGGGGAAGCGGCGCCGAUACGGCCGGCCUGGAGGGGGAGAGGGGGCCCGGAACUUCCGGUGGAGCGGUGAAAUGCGUUGAGAUCGGAAGGAACGCCCGUGGCGAAAGCGGGGCCCUGGAUCCUUGCUGACGCUGAGACGCGAAAGCCAGGGGAGCGGAACGGG